rnacentral:rRNA from 1 species
AGAAGCAGCCACCAUUUAAAGAGUGCGUAAUAGCUCACUAGUCGAGUGACCCUGCGCCGAAAAUGUACCGGGGCUAAACAUAUUACCGAAGCUGUGGAGUACACCUUUAGGUGUAUUGGUAGGAGAGCGUUCUAAGGGCGUCGAAGGCAGAUCGUGAGGACUGCUGGAGCGCUUAGAAGUGAGAAUGCCGGUAUGAGUAGCGAAAGACAGGUGAGAAUCCUGUCCACCGAAUGACUAAGGUUUCCUGGGGAAGGCUCGUCCGCCCAGGGUUAGUCGGGACCUAAGCCGAGGCCGAUAGGCGUAGGCGAUGGAUAACAGGUUGAUAUUCCUGUACCCGUUGUUUUUGUUUGAGCAAUGGAGGGACG